rnacentral:rRNA from 1 species
AGAGUUUGAUCAUGGCUCAGAUUGAACGCUGGCGGCAGGCCUAACACAUGCAAGUCGAACGGUAACAGGAAACAGCUUGCUGUUUCGCUGACGAGUGGCGGACGGGUGAGUAAUGUCUGGGAAACUGCCUGAUGGAGGGGGAUAACUACUGGAAACGGUAGCUAAUACCGCAUAACGUCGCAAGACCAAAGAGGGGGACCUUCGGGCCUCUUGCCAUCGGAUGUGCCCAGAUGGGAUUAGCUAGUAGGUGGGGUAACGGCUCACCUAGGCGACGAUCCCUAGCUGGUCUGAGAGGAUGACCAGCCACACUGGAACUGAGACACGGUCCAGACUCCUACGGGAGGCGGCAGUGGGGAAUAUUGCACAAUGGGCGCAAGCCUGAUGCAGCCAUGCCGCGUGUAUGAAGAAGGCCUUCGGGUUGUAAAGUACUUUCAGCGGGGAGGAAGGGAGUAAAGUUAAUACCUUUGCUCAUUGACGUUACCCGCAGAAGAAGCACCGGCUAACUCCGUGCCAGCAGCCGCGGUAAUACGGAGGGUGCAAGCGUUAAUCGGAAUUACUGGGCGUAAAGCGCACGCAGGCGGUUUGUUAAGUCAGAUGUGAAAUCCCCGGGCUCAACCUGGGAACUGCAUCUGAUACUGGCAAGCUUGAGUCUCGUAGAGGGGGGUAGAAUUCCAGGUGUAGCGGUGAAAUGCGUAGAGAUCUGGAGGAAUACCGGUGGCGAAGGCGGCCCCCUGGACGAAGACUGACGCUCAGGUGCGAAAGCGUGGGGAGCAAACAGGAUUAGAUACCCUGGUAGUCCACGCCGUAAACGAUGUCGACUUGGAGGUUGUGCCCUUGAGGCGUGGCUUCCGGAGCUAACGCGUUAAGUCGACCGCCUGGGGAGUACGGCCGCAAGGUUAAAACUCAAAUGAAUUGACGGGGGCCCGCACAAGCGGUGGAGCAUGUGGUUUAAUUCGAUGCAACGCGAAGAACCUUACCUGGUCUUGACAUCCACGGAAGUUUUCAGAGAUGAGAAUGUGCCUUCGGGAACCGUGAGACAGGUGCUGCAUGGCUGUCGUCAGCUCGUGUUGUGAAAUGUUGGGUUAAGUCCCGCAACGAGCGCAACCCUUAUCCUUUGUUGCCAGCGGUCCGGCCGGGAACUCAAAGGAGACUGCCAGUGAUAAACUGGAGGAAGGUGGGGAUGACGUCAAGUCAUCAUGGCCCUUACGACCAGGGCUACACACGUGCUACAAUGGCGCAUACAAAGAGAAGCGACCUCGCGAGAGCAAGCGGACCUCAUAAAGUGCGUCGUAGUCCGGAUUGGAGUCUGCAACUCGACUCCAUGAAGUCGGAAUCGCUAGUAAUCGUGGAUCAGAAUGCCACGGUGAAUACGUUCCCGGGCCUUGUACACACCGCCCGUCACACCAUGGGAGUGGGUUGCAAAAGAAGUAGGUAGCUUAACCUUCGGGAGGGCGCUUACCACUUUGUGAUUCAUGACUGGGGUGAAGUCGUAACAAGGU